UGUCUAGGGGAAUAUAAGCUUCGAAUGGUAUCUCAAGAAAACGCAGAUCAAACCAAAAACGCAGAUCAAACAUAACAAAUGCAGAUCAUGCAGAUUAUACAGAAUAAAUGCAAAUCUAACUGAUUAGCUAAUUUAUCGAAUUAGUGUAUUAAACCAAAUGUUAAAAAUAAUUUUGUAAAUUAAAUAUCUAAAACAAAAAAAAUA
rnacentral:lncRNA from 1 species